GGCGGAGAGACGGACGGCGGCGGAGAGGCGGACAGAGGCGGAGAGGCGGACAGCGGCGGCGCGGCGGAGAGGCGGACAGCGGCGGAGAGGCGGACAGCGGCGGCGCGGCGGAGAGACGGACAGCGGCGGAGAGGCGGACAGCGGCGGCGCGGCGGAGAGGCGGACAGCGGCGGAGAGGCGGACAGCGGCGGCACAGCGGCGGCGCGGCGGAGAGACGGACAGCGGCGGAGAGGCGGACAGCGGCGGCGAGGCGCGCAGCGGCGGCGCAGGCGCGGAGAGGCGCAGGCCCAGGCUCCACUCCCCAGCUGUGAAAGGGUUUUCUGCCUCCUGCUAAGCCAAUUUAUACAUUCCAAGAAAAUCUUCCAUUUCAUCCAGGUGAAACAGAACCUACUGGAAUGAAGCUGGCCUCCCAUGGAAUGAAGCUGGCCUCCCGUCUCCUUGAUUUGAAGCAGCUUCUCCACGUUGCUUCAACAUUGCUUUAUGGCAUGUGUGGUCGUUUUUCACUCCAUUGUUGUUGUUUACCCAGUUUAUGGGGGUUGUAAUGUUUAUCACACUCCUUGGAUGAUUUCCGAAGGUAAGAUAUCUGGAAUGGUUUUUCUAA
rnacentral:lncRNA from 1 species